CGUCCGCGAGGCUCCCGGGCCCGCCGGCGUCUGUGGGGAACUGGGGCGCUGGUCGGUGCGCGGGCUGGGACGCUAAGUCAUGAGGAAUUAAACUGGGAAACCUGGCGUGGGUCCAGGCGCCUUCCAGGAGGCAUCCGGCGCGGCCCGGACGUGCUUCUACCCAGAACCACCCCCUCCAGGCCGGGGUGCACUUAACGGGGCUAUACAAAGAGUCUGGUGGGUGACUGUGGGCCUCAUCCCUAUCCCGGGGUCUGAUAGGGAAGACUCUCGGGCCCCGCAGGGAAUAUCUGGCUAGUGCACCCUCGGCGGGAGCGCCACUCUCCCUCCUUGGGCGGCGCCCCCCACCUCUCAUCCCGCCCAAUCCGUUUUGCAAAGUCGGCCAAAACAAAAACAAACUUGGAGCGCUGAUAGACACUGUUAUUGCCCAUCUGAACUCGUCAACUGAGAAGGAAAGAGAUGGUUUAUGCUGUGAAUAAAAUACAGUUGUGCUGUGAUGUAAAUCCCCUCAUCCUGGAGCAGCUGAGCAAGGUCUAAGGCAGGAAGAACCUUCAAGCAGGUCAUGGCUCAGCAGACUCCACUCCUUCCCGCCAUUGUGAAUAUUAUCAUCUUCAUCUUUUUAUACUGUACUACUUCUGCUACACUGACCUUCUCUCCAUGCCACCAAACCACACUCCUAAGUGCAGAGAAUAUGAUUGAUUCUCCUACUAUACCAAUUUCCAUGAGCAGGACCAAUUACAUAAUUUGCAGGGUCCAGAGGAAAAAAAAUGCAGAACUCCUCAUUGAAAAAUUACUAAGAAUUUCAAGAUGGUGGCAACAGAGCAUUAAACCAACCACAGGGUCUUUCUAACAUGGAGAACUAAGUGACUACACAGGCUACAUGUCCACGAAGCCAGACAGUCUCUGAAGUGCAGGCUCAACUCUGCCUGGCAGUGGCAAGGGCCAGGGCCAGUGACUGAAGCAACAAACUGCCAGAUGACUGCAGCUCAAGCCAAUGCACAAAGCCACUGCAACAAGAGAGGAAAUUCUUCCAUUUCCAAGUGUGUCGAUUUCUCCCCAUCAAGGAAAACAGCUAAGGCAAUGUGUUGAUAUUUUCUUUGACCAAGUCAUCAGGAGUCACAUAGACAUACAGCACUCAAGAAGUGGCUGUAACUAAAGGCACAUCUCGUUCAUCUACAACCCUUGUAAUCCCAACCUUUGUCUGAUGCACAAACCCUUCCCUAGUUCUCCCCACCACCACCACUGCACCUCCAAGUGGGGACAACGAAUUGUUUCAUUUGCAUGUGGUUUUUCUCAUGAAAAAUAUCAUUAACAUGAGACAGCCCCAAACCAAGGAAACCAGAAGUGGGGUUUGUGCUUGGUCUUACUGAGAGCUUUCCCUACUUGACCAGACCCCAGCAUUGUUCUAGAUUUGUCUCUUGUGGGCUACAGGAAUGCAAACAUUUUGUAGUUUCCUCUUUUUUGUUUUCUUAAUGGCUUGAUGAGCCACACAUGUUUCUCUAAAUGCAUGAUUUUAAAUUCACACAAUUUCUGCCAACUAAACUUAAUGCAUUCUCCUCCUCUUCUAAUCAAUAAGGGCUAUCAGAAUGUUUUGGGUGAAGAUGAGCGGAAGGUAAGAAAUUACAUACUGUGGGCCAGGUUUGGUGACUCACAUCUGUAACCCCAGCACUUUGAGAGACCAAGGCAUGCAGAUCGCUUGAGGCCAGGAGUUCAAGACCAGCCUGGCCAACAUGGCGAAAUCCUAUCUGUACUAAAAAUACAAAAAUUACCCAGGCGUGAUGGCUCAUGCCUGUAGUCCCAGCCACUCAGGAGGCUAAGGCAAGAGAAUCACCUGAACCCAGGAAGUGGAGUUUGCAGUGAGCUGAGAUCACGCCACUGGACUCCAGCCUGGGCAACAGAGUGAGACUCUGUCUCAAAAAAAAAAAAAAAUUACAUACUGUCGAGUAUGACCUAAAAACAUAGAGAGACUAUAUUUCAAUAGUAUGACAGGAUUAUGUUAGCUGCUAAUAACAGAACCCAAAAUAACAAUAGAUUAAAUAAAAGAUUAGUAUCCCAGGUAAAAGUCUAGAGGUAGGAAUUCUAGGACUAAGUGAAGGUUCUGCUCAGUGAAGUCCUCAGGGACACAGGCACCUUCAGCUCAUAACUCUAUCAUCCCUGGAGGGUACUUAAGGGUCCAGGAUGGCAGCCAAAAGUCGUACCUACGUUUUAAACAGCAGGGUGCUGGAAGGCAUAAAGAAAAAGCCAGAGGCACACGCCUGUUCUCACUUAAGGAAAAUUCCUGGAAACUGCCACAAUACACCUUCGCUUACAUCCCAUUGAUCAAAACGUGGAUGCAAAGCCACACCUUACUGUGGGGUACAGGGAAAAAAAACUUUUUUUGACAAUCAUGAGUUCAUUAACAGAAUUCAGGGAUCUCUUAAUACAGAAGCAAGGGAGAACAGCUGUUGGGGGACCACCGGAAGUCUCUGCUCUAAAGAACAAUGUAAAUACCUGGUGGUAGACUAACACUGAUGGCCUACAAUGAAUCACACCUACUGACAUUCAUGCCUUUGUGCAGAGUUCCACACUGAUGCUGGGCUUGGCCUUGUGACUUGUUUGGCCAAUAGGAUCUCAGCAAGCACCUUGAUAAGUGCUUGUGCAUUAGGGCUUGCUGUCCUGAAAUCCAGGUGCCAUGUAAGAAGUGUGGGUUAGUCCCUAUGAAGAUGACAGACCACAUGGAGAAAGAGGCUGAGCCUAUACCCACCCACCUACCAGAGAAGAUCAGCAGAAGAACCAGUGAAUCAUUAUUGCUUUAGUCAUUAAUUUGGGGGCAAUUUGUUAUACAGCGAUAGAUAAGUGGUACAGUACAUAGACAAAUUUCUGCAGUUCAUCGAGCAUUAGCACCAAAUAAGUAUACAACAGUGUUUGGAGCACUAAAGAGAGUAUAAAAUAUUGCUUAAAAUUGUUUCCUUGGCCUCAUGAAACAGAAAUCGGCUCUGAUUAGCAACCAAAAAAUGAGAAUUUAUUGGAAGAACACUAAAUAGAAUUAAAGAAAUGCCGAAAACCAAGAUUCAAGAAGGGCAGUGUGGUAGACAUAUCAAGCAGUGUAUAUGUCACCUAUAAGCCAAACAGCCUGGCCUAACUCCAGGGUCAUUGACCACUUGUUUUCCCCAACUGCCACCAUAGCAACCAACUGUAUGGGCCCUGCCCAGAGACUACUGAAGCAACAGACUUUACAUUGGCACAUCCCAGUGGUUCCCCUCCCUUUCCCCAAGCCACACACAUCUCACCUCCCACCCCAAGAGGGCUGAGAUAGUGCCUAACUGUUGGGCUUCUAACAAAGUGUAGCCGUAAGUGCAGUGGAGUUAAUGUCCUUGGGGUAAAUCUAAUCAAAACAAGAUGGGUCCAGCAUAUAAACUCCUCUCCUUCCUCCACCCAGACAGAUUGUCCUGAAACACAGUAGUCCAUACUACCUCUCAAAAUAUGACCCUCAUGAUACUGACCAAUCACCCGGGCUUGAUACCAAGAGGUAGCUAGUUCGGUAAUACACUAUUUUAUUAUUAAUAGUUUCUCUUCCUUCUUUGCCCAGCCCGUUCGUCUUCACUCCAGUUUCUCUCAAACUACACUCAGGCUCUGUUUUCUACAGAACCCAGGCUAAAAGACUUGGCACCAGGAGCGUCCUGCAGACACUCAGGAUGGAAUGCUAGAGUUGGGUUACUUACCGACCGUGUGGCAAUAAAGACCCAUGGCACAGCAGCCUCUAGGAGCUGAGGGUGCCCUCCAGCUGACAUCCAGAAAGAAAUUGAAGCCCUAGGUUGUGAAACCACAAGGACGUGAAUUCUGCCAACACAUAAUGUGAGUUUGAAAGCAGAUUCUUCCCCAGUUGAACUACCAUCUGAAAAUCCAGUUUGGGCUAACAACUUGAUUGCAGCCUUUCAAAAAAGAAUCAGCUAAGCUGUAUCCAGACUUCUGACCCAUAAAAACUGUGAGAUAGUAUAUCUGUGUUGCUUAAGCUGUUAAUUUUGCAGCAAUAUUUAAGUUGUUGCUGUUAAGUUACAUAGCAAUAGAUAAAUAUAAAAUAGUACAACCACUCUGGAAAAUAGUUUGACAUUUUCUUAUUGCAUUAAACAUACACCAACCAAAUGACCCAGCAAUUCCACACCCUAGAGAAGUGGAAAACAUAGGUCCCUCCCAAAAACUUAUACCUAUGUUAUAAAUACCUCGUUAUUUAUAACAACUUCAUUUGUAAUAGCUAAAAAUCAGGAAAAAAAAGUCCAUCAAUACAAAAAAGGAUAAAGAAAUUAUAGUAUAUUAAUACAGUACAAUGGAUGCAACUCAGCCAUAAAAUGGAAUGAACUUUUGAUAUAAACACAACAUGAAUGAAUCUCAAAAACAUUAUGCUAAGCUAAGGAAGCUGGACACAAAAUAGUAUGAACUGUAUGAUUUCACUUUUAUGAAAUUUUGAUACAGGCAAACAUAAUCUAUUGUGAAAGAAAUUGGACCAGUGGAUGCUCUGGGGAUUGAGGGCAAGCAUUGACUUGGAAAGGGAAUGGGAUAACUUCCUGCAGUGAUGGACAUGUUCUGUGUCUUGAGGUGUAGGUCACGGAGGUAUAUGCAUUCAUCAAAACUUUGGAACUUAAGAUCUGUGUUUGUUAUUAUUUGUAAAUUAUACUUCAAUUUUCAAAAAAAAAUUUUAGUAAGCAAAGAACAAGGGAACUAUCUGUUUGCUAAAGGAUGGUAGCAUGUCUCAGCCAAAUUACCCCCAAGACACUUGCAAAAAUAAAGAGACUAACUGAUGCCCUGUGGAGUCUGAAAGAACAUAAGGCUCUGGGAAAAAAAAGACACCUGUGACUGGUUGUGCCCUCUCAGUUGAUCUUUUUUGCUUUGAGCUUCAUUGACUCAAUCCACCCAAAGAAAAUCAUCCCUUCAAUGAAAGCCAUGAACUCCAUAUCCCAUAUCUAAUCAAUACGUAGUCAGAAAAUAAGCUAUACACAACCAAAGCUGCUCAAACAAGUUUCAGUGAUAACUUGAUCAUCCUUACCAUGUAGCUACUUCAAACAUGAUUUGCUUUUCACCAAUUAUAGAUAUUACCUAAUUCAAAGUAAUAUUUGUUGUGGUACUCUAGUGUAAGCAAAGUACAGAGAAUAAAUAGUCAAAAGACCUAUGAGCUCAAAACUGUCAGGGACAUCAAAAACGAGAAAAGUCUGAGACACUAUCAGAGUUCCAGGAGCUUAAGGAGAAAAGAAGACUAAAUAUAAUGGGGUAUCCUCGAUGGAAUCUUGGAACAGGAAAGGAUAUUAGAUAAAAACUAAGGAAAUCUG
rnacentral:lncRNA from 1 species